CUUAUGUCACCUGAGUGGACUCCCUUUCCCACUUCCCCAAGGUCAGCGGUAUUCUUGCCAUUCCCAGGAUCAUGUAUCCAGGAAUCCUUCCGUCUACCGCCGGAUAUCUUCCCUUCCCCACUUACCCAAGGUCAGCCUCAACAACAACCUUCCUCAAGUUCAUGUAUCCAGGAAUCCAUCCGCUCGCUCCGGAUGUCUUCCCUUCCCCAUUUCCCUAAGGUCGGCGGUGCCUUCCCCGGAUCAGUGUCUCCAGGAAUCCACUUAUGUCACCUCAGGUGAACUCCCUUCCCCACUUCCCCAAGGUCAGCGGUAUUCUUGUCGUCCGCAGGAUCAUGUAUCCAGGAAUCCUUCCGUCUACCGCCGGAUAUCUUCCCUUCCCCACUUACCCAAGGUCAGCCUCAACUGCAUGUAUUCUUGCCUUGCUCAGGUUCAUGUAUCCAGGAAUCCAUCCGCUCGCUCCGGAUGUCUCCCUUCCCCACUUACCCAAGGUCAGCCUCAACACCAACCUUCCUCAAGUUCAUGUAUCCAGGAAUCCAUCCGCUCGCUCCGGAUGUCUCCCCUUCCCCACUUACCCAAGGUCAGCCUCAACAACAACCUUCCUCAAGUUCAUGUAUCCAGGAAUCCAUCCGCUCGCUCCGGAUGUCUUCCCUUCCCCACUUACCUAAGGUCGGCGGUGCCUUCCCCGGAUCAGUGUCUCCAGGAGUCCACUUGUGUCACCUGAGUGGACUCCCUUCCCCACUUCCCCAGAGUCAGCGGUGCCUUCCCCGGAUCAGUGUCUCCAGGAGUCCACUAGUGUCACCUCAGGUGGACUCCCUUCCCCACUUCCCCAGAGUCAGCGGUGCCUUCCCCGGAUCAGUGUCUCCAGGAGUCCACUAGUGUCACCUCAGGUGGACUCCCUUCCCCACUUCCCCAGAGUCAGCGGUGCCUUCCCCGGAUCAGUGUCUCCAGGAGUCCCCUAGUGUCACCUCAGGUGGACUCACUUCCCCACUUCCCCAGAGUCAGCGGUGCCUUCCCCGGAUCAGUGUCUCCAGGAGUCCACUAGUGUCACCUCAGGUGGACUCCCUUCCCCACUUCCCCAGAGUCAGCGGUUGCCACCUUCAGUGACCUCGCUGCAUGGAAACUUGGUCUUGUCUAGCUGGUCUACGGUAGAGACUGUCCAGGUGGGUGGAAUUACUGGAGGUGACACACACAGAAAACUGCGUCCAGUAAUUACAUCCACCAAGACAGCCUGGACCGUAGGUCAGCUAGACGCCACCAAGCUGCCUCACAGUUCCGCCACCUCCGAGAGGCUAAUUAACAUGAAUUUUGGAAAUCCUUUUAUGUUACACUAUGAAAAUAUACUGAGAACAAGUUGUUUUUUUACUUAUUUAGCUGUUUAAAAGUAUUUGAGAGUGUUUUAUUAUUGCAGAUGAAUACCCAAAUGUUGGUUAAUUUGUCCACCACCAUCAUAACUAUGUUAAAUAUUACACUGCUUUCAUUUUUGUUUAUUUAUCCGUCUUUUACAUUUGGCACUGAAAGCCUAACAAACGCAGAAAUUGUUUGCAUACACAUAUAUAAGUAUUUUCACAAAUAUUUAUACGUUUAAACACACUCACCUUACUCAUACAUCAUUAUACAUACACUUGCAUGCAUAAAAAUCACACACAAUCCCAUGUACUACAAAUACGCACACAACAAUGUACACAGUUAUCUGCUAUCACUAUAAUAUGUCUGAGAUCACACAUACAUGCACACAAAUAUAUCACUCCAAAGCCCAUCCCACGAACACUUAUGUACACAUACAUGUGUACACAUUCUCAUAGACA